rnacentral:rRNA from 1 species
AUGGUGGGCUUCUUGUUGUAGCGGGCGAGCUUGGCGGCCUCGCCGGCGAGCUUCUCGAAGAUGUCGUUGAUGAAGGAGUUCAUGAUGGACAUGGCCUUGGAGGAGAUGCCGAUGUCGGGGUGCACCUGCUUGAGCACCUUGAAGAUGUAG